AGAAGCCAGAAGCCCGGUGUUUGUGAUGGCUGGUGAUAAAUAUUAUUCUUCACACCUCGUUUAUAACCUACAUACUAAAAAUUAGCAAGAAAUGGUGGAGAGGUCAUGAAGUGAGUCACUGUCGGCUGUUGUUUUUUCAACAUAUGAGCCACUACCUUUACAACACAGCCUGAUGAUUUCUUACUAGUUAACGGCUCUCAAUGGUCUCACAUUAAUGACAAUUCCUCAUAUUUUGAGAUUUAAUAAUCAGUCGGCUUGUGCAUUAAAAACCCGAAAUUAAAUGUGUAACGUUAGCAUUUGAGCGACAUAAUGCAUUCUCUGUGUUCAAUAUUGACAUUUAACGACUAAAACUGUACGUUAAAUGUGUAAUUUACCUAUGAAAACUGAAGGCUGUUCCAAUAAACGCGCCAUAAAAACACUUUGACAGCAAAUAUAAACAGGAACUGUUUUCAGAUUGAACGCACAUGAACGUAAAGCGUCAUUACCGUAAACAACACAAAUGUCAAUGUCACGCGUCAAAAAUGUCCUACCGUAAUAGUCUAAUGGGCAAUCAAUUUUUAUUUUUCUUCUCGACCGGUGUACAGCACAUUCUUUCAACUUAAAGCAGCUGAGAAGAUCAGCUGGAAUCUUGACGAGAUAACACUCAAGACUAAACAGAGGAAAGCUAUCUGUCUAAUCACAGCUGGUUCGGCUCGUAUGAUGCUGUCAUAGGCAGGCGGUGGAGUCUGGCCAGCAUGGAAACCUCUUAGAUUGCUGUUGCCCCAGAAGGAAUCUGGUCUGUUUCUGGCCCUGGGUGGAGUGAUCAUAGAACUGACGGUGCUGGUGGAUCCAGCUGCCCCAGGGCUGGUAGUGAGAGUGGGGGUCCUUGGCAGGCUGCCCUGGGCACCUUCCUCUGCCUCGCGAGCAAUCUGGCUACACUGGAGAAGAGGAUGAAAUGUUGAGGCCCGGAAGCUUGAUUUGCGACCUGUUGAGUCUCCAUAGUCUAUUGGCGAGGAUGAGGUCUGCCGGUGGAAUGAAAAGGCGGCGCUGGCCAGACUAUUAUUACUGCGCCGAUCGUAGCCACUGCUGUGCCGACUGUAACCCAGCCGAGAUCGAGGUGAGGAUGAACGGGUGGUGGAACGGGACUGGUGGACAGGUAUGCGGGUGAUGGUGGCCGAGGCCCGUCGACGGGACAUCCAGGUCAAUAUCAUAUAGACCAGAGCUCCAAGCAGAAGACCAACAACCAUAGAAAGAAAGAAGGCCAGAAUCACAUCCGCUGGAGGAAGAAAGGAAAAUGGGCGAGAGGAAUCACAGUCCAGAGUGAAGGAUCAUCUGGAAAUGACAUUUGGAAAGACUAAAUGGAAAAAGCUGCACACUGGCGGAGUUGUUUUUUUAUAGACUACAUUUGCCAAUAUAUUUUGCCGCAAGUUACUACUGUCUGCAUUUCUGUUAGAGCACAGAAAAAAGCUCAACUCUUUUUCUACACUCUUCAGAUUUUUUAAAGAGGCACAAAGUUAACAACAUAGCAUUGUAAGUAUUUUUAUGCAAAUGCCAGAGAAAACGCUUCAUAAAGUGUAUAUACAAACAGUAAAAUAUCUUACUUAAUCCGAAAGACUCCAGGAUCUUCAUAAUAGGAUGAGUGCUGUUAUCCGCCAUCACUCCCUCCAGAGAAACGGGGGAGACCAGAGAGGACACAGUCUCUCUCCUCCAACUCUUUCGUCCUCUCACUCCCGCUUCCAACUUUUUCUAGUGUUUCUGCCAGUGUGUGUCCAGCUCUCCUCUUCUAGAGACCCUCCUCUUUCUCUUUCUUUCUGUCUGUCUGUGUGUGUUGCUCUCUUUCAGCCCCAGA
rnacentral:lncRNA from 1 species